AGCGAACGCUGGCGGCAGGCCUAAUACAUGCAAGUCGAAUGCCCCUUCGGGGGAGUGGCGGACGGGUGAGUAACGCGUGGGAACGUGCCCUUUGGUACGGAACAACUGAGGGAAACUUCAGCUAAUACCGUAUGUGCCCUUCGGGGGAAAGAUUUAUCGCCAUUGGAGCGGCCCGCGUUGGAUUAGCCAGUUGGUGGGGUCAAGGCCUACCAAGGCGACGAUCCAUAGCUGGUUUGAGAGGAUGACCAGCCACACUGGGACUGAGACACGGCCCAGACUCCUACGGGAGGCAGCAGUAGGGAAUCUUGGGCAAUGGGCGAAAGCCUGACCCAGCCAUGCCGCGUGAAUGAUGAAGGUCUUAGGAUUGUAAAAUUCUUUCACCGGGGACGAUAAUGACGGUACCCGGAGAAGAAGCCCCGGCUAACUUCGUGCCAGCAGCCGCGGUAA
rnacentral:rRNA from 1 species